UUCAGUGCUUCAUGUGGUCCUCAACACCUAUGCUUGAACUGAUCAUCUAUAGCAUUCAGAACAAGGAAAUCAAGAGGACUUUGUUCAAGGUCCUUGGGAAAGAGAGGGCCAUCUAGGCAUCAGUCACAUUAAAUAAAGGAGAACUGAUUGGAAUAUUUUGAUGGUUUUCUUUCAUAUUUCUUUCUGAACUGCAAAUAUGUGUGCAUCUAUACUUGAAGCAGGGAAGAAACACUGGAGUCACAGUCUCUUCAUGGUUCUGCAUGCUAUGGAUAGCUAUGAAGAUUAUGUUAUUUUUUUGGAGGCAGAAUAGAGUCGUUCAGGAAAUCCAAGCAGAGAUACAGGGAGAAGAAGGGCGGAAGGGAGGAGAUACUAUCCAGCCGCUGGAGGAGAAAGAUGUCACAGCAUCACUG